UUCAUUGGUAUUGUAAAGCGACAU
rnacentral:miRNA from 1 species